UCAAGAUUAAUUGAGGAAAAGGGGGCCAUCUGAGGGAGAAGCUGAUUACGUCCUAUGCUAUAGCUGGCUAAAUUAUAACCCAGCCCCAAAGAGAAGAGCUGUUUUAGCAGGGACACCUGGGAUAGACCCUGAGCUGGUAGGGGAACUGCCGCAAAGCUUUCUAGGCAGUGGAGAAGCUUGAGGCCUUGAUCGCACCAGACUCAGAUUUGUUGUUUUGGGACUCCUGUUUUCUCAAGACUUUGAGCUGGUAUUUGAUCAACUGUGGGGCAACAUCCCAGUCUCUAGCACAAAUGGGCAAGGAUGAUGGAAAUGUGGAUGGAAGUGUCAUAGAGGAUCAGGAAGAUAUUGAAAGCAGUGAACAGGUCUCAGCACAGGAGCUACAGUACCACAGACUCCCCAUCUGUGUUACCCAGCAGGAUGGCUGCGGGGAUGGGAAGGAGAGUGCAAGCACAGGGCAGUGGCAGCUUCUCCUUUCUCUCACCAGGUGUGUUCCAUGAGCUGCCUUCCAUGACUCCUUGUUGCCACUUGGCUGCUGAGUCCUGGCCCGGGAUAGGGCCAGACGUGCCAAGAGCUCUGCACCGUGUGACAGCUUGGUGAAAUGUUGCUUUGUGGAGAGGGGAUGAAGUGCACCUGUCAACAAAAAAUAAAAACAUAGAAAUUGCCAUAGCGGAUCAGAUCAAUGGUCCAUCUAGUCCAGU